rnacentral:tRNA from 2 species
AGGGGUAUAGUUCAGUUGGUAGAACGUUGGUCUCCAAAACCAAAUGUCGAGGGUUCGAGUCCUUUUGCCCCUG